UCUUUUUAAACCUUCUCAUGUCUGGACACCCUCUCAGCUCUUCACUAAUUGAAUUCCAGAGCUUCACACCACAGACCGAGACACAAAAACUCUUUCUGGUAGUGAGAGCUCUAGCAUGUUUGAAUUUUAAAUGUUUGUUUUUUCAAU